GAUGGCGAAAAGCUGCUGCCCGCGGGUGGGCUCCUGGGGGGACGCCCGGCGGCGGAGCGGGGCGGGGCAGGGCGGGGCAGGGAGGCCUGCAGCGCUGCAGCCACAGGAACCCUUGGUGCUUCGCACAGCCGGGCCGGUUUUUCCCAGAGCCUCCCUCCCCUCAAGCCUAACCCCAAUUCCAGUUUUCCUCAGGCCUUUCGGGUGGCCCCGGGGUUUGUCUCUGGAAUCUAGGCUGACUCCCCACCCGACCCGCAGAGCCCUGUGCGGGCAGUGGCCCUGACCAUUGCGGUGGCUGCUGGAGCUCCGGGCUGUGGAGCCGGGGCUGCGCGCCGGAGCGCUGGAGAGUGUGUGGCAGAGCGUGGAAACUGGUCGCUGUGUGCUUGUGUCGCUGGCUGCGUGUCCUAGGGGAUGGGCAAAUCACACGGCUGCCACAUACCCAUUGCCACCCAACGCUAAGAAAAGAGCAGGAAAAGCAAAACAAAGAAAAAAGCAAAGAAGAAAGGGAAAUAGAAAGUCAAUGUGGGGGAUUCCGGAGCUUGAGGAGUGGGAGGCGCUGCUCUCUUCUUGGCUCGCGGCGCCUGGGCUGGCAGACUUGGAGCCCCGGGUGGCCGCAGCCACAGACGUGCUGUGGCGGUGAACUGACCUAAGGACGCGGGAGGUCUGCCUGGGUCAGAUGUCCGCCGACAGCUCUGCUGGCUUUACGCGUUUACCUCCAUUUCUCUGUUCUCCUCCAGCCACUCUGUCCCUGGCGACCCUCCCUGCUGGUAUUUCUGUACAUGCAAGAGUCUUGGCAUCAUCGCCAGGGACCAAGGGGUCGGUGGACCCUCCCGGGGACAAUUCUGCAUCUCAGGACAGCCUCGAGGACUGCGACGGGCAGGAAGAUGGAGAAGGGGUGGGGGGUGCUGAAGGAGGACAGAGGCUAAGGGUGUGCCGCCUUGUGUGUCAAUAAUUCUGGGGAAUUUUCACCUCUCCCAGACGAGUCUCCACUUACCCCACGAGGGGCCCCCUGGACGCCCAGCAGCGCGCACAGGUGGAAUUCCUGCGCGUCUAACCGGCACCACGCAUGGACCUCACCUGUCUGGGUCCGAGAGCUACAAGUUAGCGGCGAUUGCCCGGGACCUCAGGUGCGGACCGCAAGGGACAUUGGGCGGGUGCAGCGGUCCCCAAUCUACGACCGCGGGACCUGCCGGGGCGGUUCAGGACCCAUUGCGAGUUAGGUGGCGAAGCCCAGGCACAGUCCGUGUUUCAUGGGCUUCGGGUUGGGACCUUGUUCCUCAGCCACCGCGGACUUUCGCGCUCCUGCGCGGGGCUAAAAUAGUAUGGCAUUGCAGAAGGCUUCCCUCUCUUUGUCUUGGGACCCUCUCCCCCAUUCUUAUUGCUUCUGCUUCAUGGCCAUGACCCGGAGACUGCAAUGGGAAACCUCCAGCGCUGGAGGGCGGCUCCUAAAGCGGAGCCGGGGAUAGCUUGGAGCCAGGGCGAGCCGGGCCUCCAUCCCACAUGCACUGAAGACGCGGUCAGACCCCAGCAGGAAGGAACGCGAGGGGCGGGAGGGACGAACCUCUCCUUGUCUUGUCCACGGCCGCAUCUAGAGUGGGUGGCGGGAAGAGGGUCGGCAACAGUAGAGAGAACUAGGGGCUGGAAGACGGAGCGAAGCCGGGACAGCGCGGCUCCCAGGCUGCUUUCGCCACAUUCGGCUGGACUCAGUCACCCUCGGAAUCGUAGGGAUACCCCACCCCGCGCUGUGCUUCAUUUGCCCCUUCCUUCCAGACCCGCCAUCACUGCCCGCAGUCCUCCAAGCCUCAGGAUCCAAAGUUUCCGUCUGACAAUCUGCACGUGGGAUUAGUUGCUGUUGAAGGCGCUCCUCCAAUGAAAUCUUCUCUGCUCUCUGAUUUGGCGGUUCUUCUGAGCAAAUAUGACAGCCUUUUCUCCAGGCUCCUUUUCGCUCCUCUCCAUUUCCAUCCCCAGAGCCCAGCUCUCCAUCUGCAAUUUCUACAUCAGAACCACCCCCAACCCCGAGUCCUUUCCCUGCAAAUGUGUGAGUGCUACAAAGGUGACAUGGCAUAUCGGGAAGAAUGCAGUAUUGCUUUUUGAUUGUCGGAGAUACUUAAGCCCAGUUUUUCCAGCUAUCACCAAGCAGGACCUGACACGAACUUGAUUUUGCUUGAUUGAAGUCAUCCUGAAGCACAGCAUUACAAGACUGUGUCUCUGCCUUCAAUCUCCAUACUCACAUGCCACCAUCACUGGGCAAUUAUAAGAUACCUUCAAGAAAAUCAAAAGAGCUCUGCUAAGUCUCAUUCUCAGCCUCUCCCAGCAUUUGUUCUGUCACAUUAAAUAUAUGAUUUUGUCAUUUCUCCUCUCUUACUCUUUUCAGAAUGAAUUCACAUUUUCCUUUUUUACUCCAUUAUUUCUGUCUACUGAGGCUCCAUAAACCCAUGAAGCUGCUUGAGUCUUUUUGAACACACACAGACACACACCCAUCAAAGCAAAAGUGAGGAGAAAUAGAUCUUUGGCCAGCAAUAGACCAGAAAACCCAGUGAUUUGUUACUCUUUUGUUCCUUUACAUCAUUAAGAACACCAAGCCCCCUUUUGCUAAUGAACUUAUACCUUCCAAAAUAAGCAGCAAAAUUUAUAACCAUGAAAGCAAACAAAUACUUUUCUUAAACCUCAAUAAAACAGAGUCUGUGGGUGACUGAGUGCUAUGUUUAAUAGAAGUCAGUAUACUUAAGGCCUUUUGGAGAGGAGCUGCACAUGGAAACAUCAUUUUCACCAGUCAUCAAUUAUGUCCAUUUUCUUUUUCUAGGUCAUCACUUAGAACACAUUUUUAUAUAUACUUGUAACUCUGCCACUCACUGUGAUUUUGGAGAAAUUGUUUAACUUCUCUUUGCCUCAGCUUCUUAAACCAUAAAAUGGGUAGUUAUAUCUGCUGGGGUUGGUAGAAGAAAUAAUAGAAUUAAUUCAUGUGAAAUUCUUAAAAGAGCAUGUGGCAUGUAGCAAAUUAGCUAUAAAUAUACUACUGUUGGUCAAGAUUGAAAAUUACAGGUUCUUGGGUCACACCUGUGACCUAAUGAAACAGAGUAUGGAGUGACUCUUGAGAAUGCAAACCAUAAUGCUCAUCCACAUCCUGUAAUGAGCAUGAGAAACAUAAUCCAUUAGCACUGUGAUUUCAGGGAAACUCAAUUCUUUUCUUCUUCUAGCUUCUGUUUUGAUACAAGAAAUGAUCAUGUGUAUUCUGUUUUAUUUUCAUCUCUUAAACCAGUUUAUUUUCUGAGGAAAAAAAAAAAGAAUACUCCCCCACCUCAGGAAUACAGCAUUUGCAUGUAUUAGCAAUUGUUGGUGUGGAAAUUUUUUGUUGGUCUGUUUGUUUUUGUGAGAUGGAGUCUCACUCUGUCACCCAGGCUGGAGUGCAGUGGCACGAUUUCAGGCUCACUGCAACCUCCUCCACCCUAGUUCAAGUGAUGCUUCUACCUUAGCCUCCCAAGUAGCUGGGAUUACUGGCACCUACCACUAGGCCCGGCUAAGUUUUGUAUUUUUUGUAGCGAUGGGGUUUCACCAUGUUGGCCAGACUCAUCUCAAACUCCUGACCUCAAGUGAUCAGCCCACCUCAGCCUCCUGAAGUGCUGGGAUUACAGGCAUGAACCACUGUGGUCUGGGCAGUAUAGAACAUUUUUAAAACUGCUUUUUAAAUACUUUGUAAAAUGCAUCUAUGGGAUUUUUAAAAUCUACAUUCCUAUUUUCCACCUCAAAGAACUCUAAUAAAUUAGCAAUUUCUACUUAUGAAGCCAAACUUCAUUACCUACCACCUCAUGAUGCUAGUUUUAGAUGCACGUUGAAGAGCUCUCAAUGCCUGUAAAGGGUGACUUUGAAUCUUUGACAAAGCUUGUGUUUCAAUAAGAUUACAAAUAAGGUCACCACUAAUGUGAGAAGAAGGGGAACCACAAAUCUCAUUCCUGGGAAUGCGGAGCAUAUUUAUCAUGCCACAUUGAUUUCACUGCAGCAAUAAUUAGGCUUCAGUAAUUAGAUGCACAAAUCAGCACUCUAUCAUCGUAAGUGGAUUAAGAGGCUGACAAGUUCAACUCCAGUGAUUUCCCACCAGGUAUGGCGGUCAUAACAUUUUUUUUUUCAUUUCUAUUUUCAAGGAACCAAGAAAAUGAAGGUGAGGACUUUGCCUAUAUUGGGAAAAUGAGCCAAGAGCAGAUCUUUCCUUGUCCUUCAUCUUCUACUCACACUGACUAUUUAAGACUUGAACCAGGGAAGCACAGCAUUUAUUAGCAGUCACUUUGUAAAACUGGGCUGAUUUAUCUGAUGGAUGCCAAAGGAACCUUUCUCUUCCUUGACCUCAGUUUGAAAAAAAAAAAAAAUCCUGGGUUAAAAGUGGAUCUCCACUAGAUGACAAUCACUACUUAAAAUGUGUCCUGCAGUUGUCCCUUACUGUUUGGAAAUCUUAGUAAUAGUUUUGUAACAGACACUCUAUUAUUCCUAAAAUUAUUUUUUUUCCCUAGAGACCUUCCCAGAGAGCAAUUUAAAAACUUCUAUUCUUUAGCUAAAAAAGAUGAUCUCUUUUUAUUCUAGAAAAUCUUGAGUUUUUCAUUCUCAGACCCUGCAAUCGAAGUUUUCAUAUACAAAUAGGACUGAUUCUGAGGGAUAAUGCUUAGUGACUGUGAAAAACAAUGCUUGCUAUUUCUUUUUUUUUUUUUUCAUGAAGUUUGGCAUCACAGAUGUUUUCAACUCUUUUCUCUCAUAGCAAUGAUAGUGCUGAAAACAUGUACUGCUGCUGUGUAGAAAAUAUUUAAAAUACAGAACUCUUUUGCAAACAGGGACUAUGAAGAAGGGAGAAAAAGCAGAGAUGAGGGGGUGCCGUGCACUACCCUGCAAAAUGUUAAACAGCUGCAAUGGUGAUAAAUUAGUGUUAAGAAUACAGAAGGAAAAGGUCACAUGGGAUGCUUGUUUCCUUAGAGAAGCAUUUAGUGUGUGUGUGUUCCUCCUACUAGGAGGUAAGCUGAACGCUGCUUCAGAAAUGAACCUCUAAGGCAGGGUGAACUUAAAAGUUUCAACAACAACUACCUCAGAGUAUAUUUUAACAAACAGCCUAAAUUUCCCCUUUUUACAGGCAAAGUUAAAAGCUGGAAUCUCAGAUGAAGAUAAGAUUCUAGCAAAAUCAAAGUGAAAGUCUUAUGAUACUCUUCUAUAUGCAUGAGGUCUCAGAUUAUUUGAAUCAGUAACUCUUUGUGCAGGCAAAAGUCAUCUAGAAAUAUUUAAAAUCUUUUCAGUCUGCAGAGAAACCUGCAUUUACUCAUGGGAGUUCACAUAAUUUCUCAGAUCAUAUAACAUACCAGCUUCUUAAGCUAACUAAAGGGAAAAGCUGGAAAUGCUAACAGUCUAAAGAAAUAAAUCCUGGGUGCCAUCACAACAUUGGACAACUUCCUGAUAAAAUUUGAUCUACCUCUAUUUCUUGAGAGUGACUGGAAUAAUUGUGAUGUAAAAGCAGCAUGUUGCUAAGUAAGACUUAACUGAGUGUGUCUGCUACUGUAAAAUCACUUCAUAUAGAUCUUUUCACUUUAAAAACAGACUCCCCUAGCAGCGUGUCCAAGGAAGCAUACUCCCAACCAUUCUAUGAUUUACCAUGCCUAAAAUCCUGGACAUUUUGUCUUUUCUCAUUAUUUAACCAGCAAAGUGAUGGGUGUUAGGCUUAAGGAUCUCAUUUACAAAAUCUCAUGGGCAAUAUUUCAUAAAUCCUUGCAGAAAGGAAUGAGGCAAGGCUCUGGGCAAAGUUAUUGUAUGUGUCCCAUUUCUACAAGGCUUUCCUUGGCAAAUGUUUUUGUAGAAAUUGAGUUGGUUUCGAAAGGAUGCCCAAUAAGCGUGUAUUAUUGGCAAUCAUUGAAUGUCUCCAAUAACAACCACUCUAAAUCCACUUUGAAAGGUCCAGAGGUGACAGACAGAAGGCACUCCCCUUUUAUUAUGCCAGAAUACUGAGUAGACAGUUUCUCUCACUUGAUAGCAAAUCCUGGACAGAUUUUCUUCUUAAGUCUCACAUAAACAAGCUGCUUGUGCUUCGCUUUCCUUCUACUGUGUUGUAAGUUUCAGGUGAUCAUCCUGAGAAUGCCAGAGUGCAUCUGUAAGAAUGAUGCUUCUCAGCAGCCUACUACAGACCAGACUUGAAGCAUCAAGAUUAGUUCAACAAAUAUUUACACAUCAAUCAAUAUUCUCUUAGAUAUCAGGAUUAGCUAAACACGUGGUUAGAACAAACAUAAAAAAAUUAUUCUUAGGCACCUUCAAUAAAAUCUUUGCUGUCGUAACCCAUGGGGGAUUCAGGAAAGAGCCUUGACUCUUCAUCAGGGAGCUAAUUCCAGAAGUGGAUUAUAGGUGAGUUACACUCUAUCUGGAAUUUAGAAGCUAUGCCAAGUUAAAUCUUGGUAAAGUACUCUGGAUGAUGAAGCAAUGUGUACAAUAUUUAAGGCAAUCACCAGGAAAUUACUGCUAAAACUGAAGACAUCUAUUAAUGACCAACUAGCAAAACCCAUGCUUUAUAGUAUCCAGGGUGGGAAAAAGUAACCAAAAACUAUUGAAUAUUAUGUCUACUUUCCAAAGAUUAUUAAUGGAGAAGCCUAGGAUAAGCAAGAACACUCUCACACAUUCUUUGUCCAGGAUGCUAUGUUCUAGGAUGUACUUCCAAUCUUCCAAUUUCUCUGUAGCUAUUUUAUUUAUUUAUUUAUUAUUUCUUUUUUCGCUUUUGUGUUUUGGAAGCAAUUAAGCUGACUGAGAACUUACUUAGCAACGUGUGUCUCUGGCACAUGGACAUUUCUGUAAUUUCUCGAGAAGAAAACUCUUGGCUAUGGCUGUUACAGCUUAUUCUAAUUACAUAACGGCAUUGGGAUGGGGAUAAUGUAACUAAGAACUGGAAUGCAGUUGCUGUUCACAGAAUUGACUUAAAGGAAUAAAAGCCCAUUUUGAGCUGUAGUGUAUACCUUCAGCUUGCAGAAUAAUACUAGGCUUAUCUCUGGGAAUGUUCUCUCAGGUUUCUUUGCAUCCUACCCCAAAGCUGGUCCACAGUGAUAAGUGAGAGAAUGGGAAACAGACAGGUAUGCAAACUUUCAAGGUGAAAGUAGAAAAUUAAGCUAUCCAGUUUCUAAGAAGAGCUGUGCUGCAUAGAAAGCCUCUAUGCCAUUAUCUCUAAAGUAGGGUCACCUAUGCAAUACUAGGAAGAGGUGAAUAAGAUGGACAAACGGUAAGGUAUAAAUAACAGAAUUGCUUCUAGGGACAAAACUUAGAUGGGAUCCUCUAUCAAAGUAAAGGAAAUAAAACAAAACUGAUUCCUUCAUCUGUGUGGUAAGAAUAUACCUAUAUUAUUUUCUGGUGUCAUUUGAGGCAACAACCUUCCCUGAAACUUGUAUGUAUGUACCUCCAGAUAUAUAUUGGCUCAUAUUGUUCUAGGUAGAUUUUCUCAUCAGCUCCUUGUAUGAAAUAUCAUAUCCAGGUACCUUUUGUCCUUAUACAACUCUCAAUCAAGAAAGAUGAAAAUUCCACUCUAAAACAAAGAUUCCUGUCCUACAUGAAGUCACUUGCAGAACUCCAGCAGUUGCUUAAUUCUGGCUUCCAAAGCCAAGAGCAGUGGUAUCUGUAACUAUAAAAACUAGUUUCUUGAGUGCAAGACCAUGAGUAUGUUCUGAUAACAACAUGAGAUAGGCUGACUCCCUGUAAGUCAAUGCAUUUAUAGAAUAAACUUUGAUUUUGCUUCUUGAUCACCUAAUUCAGAACUGUUUUCUCAUUCUAAGCCUUUUAUUAUUAUUAUUAUUAUUUUUAGAGAUGGGGUUUCACCAUGCAAGUCAGGCUGGUCUCGAACUCCCGACCUCAGGUGAUCCACCUGCCUCAGCCUCCCAAAGUGCUGGGAUUACAAGCAUGAGACACCAUGCCUGACCGAUUCUAAGCCUUUUUGUCUUUAAAUAUUCUUUUUGGCCCAAUUGCUACUCUGUUCUUAUUGAUCCCAACUACUGGCUGGAGAUUUGCCAAAUAAUCUUCACCUCAACUCUAUGUACUAGUGUUUCUGUGUAAGUUUAGAACUAGACUCCUCCUUCUUACAUUAAAAAUAAUAAUUCUGAUCUGCACUGUGAUCCCUUUGUUUUUAAACCUAAUAAUACUUCUUAUAAAUUGGGGUGUGGCCAAUGCAGCAGGACUGCAAGCAUAGUGGACCCUUUCCCCGAUGGCCAAGUCAGUUUUAAGUAUAUUCAAUUUCGACUCUAGUUUGAUGUGGUUAAUUGCUUACAACUUGUUAUAAUAGUUAUAGGGAACAUUUCUUAGUAUAUCACUAUAUGAAUAUGAUGAUGAUUCUCUUGGAAGACUUUUCAAACCUAAAUAAUGAGUUGUUUUUGUCAUUGGGCUUAUUAUUUUUUGCCAUAAUACUAAUA